UACGUAGGGGCCAAGCGUUGUCCGGAUUUAUUGGGCGUAAAGAGCUCGUAGGCGGUUCGGCAAGUCAGCUGUGAAAUCUCCACGCUCAACGUGGAGGGGUCAGCUGAUACUGCUGUGACUUGAGUCCGGUAGGGGAGAACGGAAUUCCUGGUGUAGCGGUGAAAUGCGCAGAUAUCAGGAGGAACACCGGUGGCGAAGGCGGUUCUCUGGGCCUGUACUGACGCUGAGGAACGAAAGCGUGGGGAGCGAACAGG
rnacentral:rRNA from 1 species